rnacentral:rRNA from 1 species
UACGGAGGAUCCGAGCGUUAUCCGGAUUUAUUGGGUUUAAAGGGAGCGUAGGUGGAUUGUUAAGUCAGUUGUGAAAGUUUGCGGCUCAACCGUAAAAUUGCAGUUGAAACUGGCAGUCUUGAGUACAGUAGAGGUGGGCGGAAUUCGUGGUGUAGCGGUGAAAUGCUUAGAUAUCACGAAGAACUCCGAUUGCGAAGGCAGCUCACUAGACUGCAACUGACACUGAUGCUCGAAAGUGUGGGUAUCAA